GACCUACUUUUGAGAUGCUUGAGUAUCAUUCAUGGCGGCAGUGCUAACCAAACCUAUUCCUCCUUAGGCUUCACCUUCUGGAGACAGUACAUCGUCUCUCCUUGCCCCAAGGAAGAGCAGAUGCACACAGUUUAGAUGCAUGCCGGGAGCAUUAGGUGAAAGAAGAAUGCGUCCCAGCAAGAAGACUCCUGCCCACUCUCACCAGUUUGCUCGAACUGAGUUCCUUGACGGAGGAAGCAGAAAGACGUCUUCUCAGUUGGCGUCAUGUCCUGAUGCGGCUUCCACUGAUCCGUUCUGCAUCAGCCCUCCAUCAGGGGGGUGCAGCCUUCAGACACAGAAAACUGGGGCAGCCAAAAUUGUAGCGAGAAACAUUAACAUGAAACAAGUACUUGGAGAACUCAGAUGUGUGACCCAGCCACUUGAUCAGUAUUCUGGGGAGCUGGCAAAUGAAACCUUUCUCCGUUAAUAGAGCUAUUGUCUGCUGAAAGAGCUUUGAAACAAAGCUGUAGCUGGCCUUGAGUUGUGCUAGGAAAGUGGCCACCUGUGACUAGCUCAUUUCUUUCAAUCUGCUGGUGGAAGCAUGGGAAGGGUGGAGCAGGAAAGGGAAAAGGAUGAAGUUCAGUCUGUUACCCGUCAGCAUCUCUGUCUGGAUUGCAUGAGCCUGAAUCGUCGUACUGAUAAAAGAAAUUCUUACAGAUCCUUUGCAGGGUGUCUGUCCCUUUUUUGUAAGGUAGUGGACAGAGCCGCAAGAUCCUUUGGGUUGGCUUUACUACUUCCAACUCUCUCCAAAUAAAUGCCUCCUAUGCAUGGUGGCUGAGAAGGAG
rnacentral:lncRNA from 1 species